CGACCUUGGAUGAUAAGAAUAAAGAUGACAAGUGGGCAGUGGCUAUGCUUUGGGGUACAUAAGCAGAUGCAAUCUGCACAACCGAGGCUGAGAAACAAGAGGGAUAACCCCUAUCGCCUGCUUAAAGUUGUGUUUUUGAGAAAGUAAAAAAUCAUUCCAAAGGAGAGCAUUACAUGGCAUAGUUCUACCGAAAGGGUUCUGAAUUGCAGAUGCUGGGGCAUUUUUUUAUUUGAUUUACUGGGGAACCUUCAUUAUUUACAAAGCAGCAGUCACCACAGAAAAUGUGUACAGCAUGACGGGGAAAGUCACCUAACCCUUUCAGCUCCUGACAUGUAAUUAUACUCUUGUUAUAAUUGGUUAGAUGAUGAUAAUUUCUUAGGAAUGUUCCACAGUGCAAUCCCUAAUACCCUUACAGUAAGAUGGAAUUGGUGUAAGUGUGAAAUUGGUUUUCAUGUCAGAAUUGGCUUUGCUUUAAAUACCGAGUCAGCCCCAUUGUUUUAUUGGGACUCAAGUGAAGGAUUGUACCAUUAAAAGGUAUAUGUGUAAAUGGUGAUGGUGAUUGUUUCAGCUUCCUUGCGGUUAAAUUUCUUUUUCAGCAGGCAGACAUUGACCUCGGAAAUGAAAUAUGAACAGCAAUAGCUUUGGAUGUUUUUAUGCACAUUU
rnacentral:misc_RNA from 1 species